GAUGAACGCUGGCGGCGUGCCUAAUACAUGCAAGUCGAGCGAACGGACGAGAAGCUUGCUUCUCUGAUGUUAGCGGCGGACGGGUGAGUAACACGUGGAUAACCUACCUAUAAGACUGGGAUAACUUCGGGAAACCGGAGCUAAUACCGGAUAAUAUUUUGAACCGCAUGGUUCAAAAGUGAAAGACGGUCUUGCUGUCACUUAUAGAUGGAUCCGCGCUGCAUUAGCUAGUUGGUAAGGUAACGGCUUACCAAGGCAACGAUGCAUAGCCGACCUGAGAGGGUGAUCGGCCACACUGGAACUGAGACACGGUCCAGACUCCUACGGGAGGCAGCAGUAGGGAAUCUUCCGCAAUGGGCGAAAGCCUGACGGAGCAACGCCGCGUGAGUGAUGAAGGUCUUCGGAUCGUAAAACUCUGUUAUUAGGGAAGAACAUAUGUGUAAGUAACUGUGCACAUCUUGACGGUACCUAAUCAGAAAGCCACGGCUAACUACGUGCCAGCAGCCGCGGUAAUACGUAGGUGGCAAGCGUUAUCCGGAAUUAUUGGGCGUAAAGCGCGCGUAGGCGGUUUUUUAAGUCUGAUGUGAAAGCCCACGGCUCAACCGUGGAGGGUCAUUGGAAACUGGAAAACUUGAGUGCAGAAGAGGAAAGUGGAAUUCCAUGUGUAGCGGUGAAAUGCGCAGAGAUAUGGAGGAACACCAGUGGCGAAGGCGACUUUCUGGUCUGUAACUGACGCUGAUGUGCGAAAGCGUGGGGAUCAAACAGGAUUAGAUACCCUGGUAGUCCACGCCGUAAACGAUGAGUGCUAAGUGUUAGGGGGUUUCCGCCCCUUAGUGCUGCAGCUAACGCAUUAAGCACUCCGCCUGGGGAGUACGACCGCAAGGUUGAAACUCAAAGGAAUUGACGGGGACCCGCACAAGCGGUGGAGCAUGUGGUUUAAUUCGAAGCAACGCGAAGAACCUUACCAAAUCUUGACAUCCUUUGACAACUCUAGAGAUAGAGCCUUCCUCUUCGGGGGACAAAGUGACAGGUGGUGCAUGGUUGUCGUCAGCUCGUGUCGUGAGAUGUUGGGUUAAGUCCCGCAACGAGCGCAACCCUUAAGCUUAGUUGCCAUCAUUAAGUUGGGCACUCUAAGUUGACUGCCGGUGACAAACCGGAGGAAGGUGGGGAUGACGUCAAAUCAUCAUGCCCCUUAUGAUUUGGGCUACACACGUGCUACAAUGGACAAUACAAAGGGCAGCGAAACCGCGAGGUCAAGCAAAUCCCAUAAAGUUGUUCUCAGUUCGGAUUGUAGUCUGCAACUCGACUACAUGAAGCUGGAAUCGCUAGUAAUCGUAGAUCAGCAUGCUACGGUGAAUACGUUCCCGGGUCU
rnacentral:rRNA from 1 species